GGCAAGAUGGCCGAGCGGUCUAAGGCGCUGUGUUCAGGUUCCUCUGCUCCUCGAGCAGUAGAGCUUCGCAGUCUUCGGGCGUGGGUUCGAAUCCCACUCUUGUCA
rfam:Trichosporon asahii var. asahii CBS 8904 unplaced genomic scaffold scaffold00066, whole genome shotgun sequence.